AGAUUCCGGAGUUCACCAAUGGGACAUCAAGAUCAACAAGCAUCGCAGAAGUUCCUCAAGCUCUAACAAUUAAUCGAAAACGGUUGAGGUAUGAUAGGAUUUGUGAGGUGAAAGGUGAAACUUGAUUCAAAUGGAUUGAUAAUCUGAUAAUUGAAAAAUCGAUGGCAACAGUGCAGCAAUAACUUUGUGUGGAGGAAAGAUAUAUCUGUUCAAUCAAAAUAAAUGUGAAUGGAACCGAAUACUUUAUGAACGAUUAACUCAUGAGAGGAAGGAUGAAACCUGAUCUGAACAUCAGAUAUAGGUCAAAACAAUUGGAUACUAUACAAUCGCUACUCGUUAUAAUUGGAUGAAACCGCAUAAUCACAGUUUAAUGCUGAUCAAAACAACUGAAUGGAUAGCACAGUGUAUUCACACAUAAAGGAUUGACGCAAAUCUCCACACAAUUUCUUCAAAUAUGCUGGAAAAGAAACGACAUAGACAGAAUGGUAUCAGAUUAAGUUGGCAAGAAUCAUUUUCACUGAAAACCAAGCAAUGACUUGAUUAUUUUAAACCGAACGUCAUCAGCCACAACAUCAACAUCAAGGUUGAUAGUUUUUUCAUCAGCCACAACAUCAGCGAGAUCAUCAAUUAAUAAUCAUCAUCAUCGAACAGAAUCAAUUGUAAUAACAAUCAAAAUUAAGUUAAAUAUUAAGUCUAACCAAUUUCCAACAUAUAGCUGACAGUAGAUGAUCGUCUUUAGCAGACGAACAUCUAGCUCGUAAGUGUGGGGAUAUGAAGCGACCCUCGCCUUACCAGAAAAAUUCACAGUAGAUUUUCUCUGUUAAAAACGAAAAUAUUAGGAAAAGGCGAAUCAGGAGAGUUGUAAGAAAAAGGAAGACAAAUAAAAAUCAAUUAGGAGCGUAGGACGGGAAAACCCGACAACACUUUUAUGACCCACUUAAGUGGCACGCGCAGAAAGGUGCCCGACGAGAAACAAACAAAUAACAAUAUCUGUGAAAAAGGACAGGCACGACUGGAAAAUAAAUAAAGAUUACAUUAUCUAUGGGUUAAGUCAUAAAAGGACUGCGACUAAUUUCUGAGAAAAAUCGGAGAAUUAGAGCGCGGUGGAAAGAAAUAGAACAUUUAUAUUAGGAUUUUAAGAGUGAGAGAAAUAAAAUAGGCCAGGAUAUUAUGUAUAACUUGGAAGGAUUUUUAGAGUGGGGGGAAAAAUAAAUAAAAUAAGAAAAAAAGAGAGUUAUAUAUUGUAGAAUUCUGGGAAUUAAGGAAACUUUUCAUUAUAUCGAGAAAAAUACAGGUUGGAGUGGGGGUUGUAAAUGAGACAAAAAUAUAUUAUAUAAGUUAGAGGAAGAAUUUUUGGAGUGAAACCGAAAAGGACGGAUAUAUUAUGCAACAUCAAAAACUAGAGUGGGGGUAAAAAUAUAAGAUAUUAAAUAAUUAAAUAAAUAACUAGAUUUAGUAUAAAAACCCAAGCUGAAAUCAAAUAAAGUCAGUCAGUAAAUGAGACAGUGAAA